AGCGAACGCUGGCGGCGUGCUUAACACAUGCAAGUCGAGCGAAGGUGUUUCAAGGGUAACCUUGAGAUACACUUAGCGGCGGACGGGUGAGUAAUACGUGGAUAACUUACCUCUAGGCCUGGGAUAACCCCGGGAAACUGGGGCUAAUACCUGAUAAGACCACAUUGUCUACGGACAAAGGGGUAAAAGGUGGCUGUGCAAACAGCUAUCGCCAAAAGAUAGGUUCACGUCCCAUCAGGCAGUGGCGAGGUAAUGGCUCACCAAACCAAAGACGGGUAGCCGGCCUUGGCGGGUGAACGGCCACACGGGGACUGAGACACGGCCCCGACUCCUACGGGAGGCAGCAGUGGGGAAUAUUGGGCAAUGGGCGCAAGCCUGACCCAGCGACGCCGCGUUGGGGAAGAAGGCC
rnacentral:rRNA from 1 species